rnacentral:rRNA from 1 species
CGAUACGGGCUAGNNGAGUUUGGUAGGGGAGACUGGAAUUCCUGGUGUAGCGGUGGAAUGCGCAGAUAUCAGGAGGAACACCAAUGGCGAAGGCAGGUCUCUGGGCCAAUACUGACACUGAGGAGCGAAAGUGUGGGGAGCGAACAGGAUUAGAUACCCUGGUAGUCCACACAGUAAACGAUGGGCACUAGUUGUGGGAACCUUCCACGGUUUCUGCGACGCAGCUAACGCAUUAAGUGCCCCGCCUGGGGAGUACGAUCGCAAGAUUAAAACUCAAAGGAAUUGACGGGGCCCCGCACAAGCAGCGGAGCAUGCGGCUUAAUUCGACGCAACGCGAAGAACCUUACCAAGGCUUGACAUAUACAGGAAUAUGGCAGAGAUGUCAUAGCCGCAAGGUCUGUAUACAGGUGGUGCAUGGUUGUCGUCAGCUCGUGUCGUGAGAUGUUGGGUUAAGUCCCGCAACGAGCGCAACCCUCGUUCUGUGUUGCCAGCAUUUAGUUGGGGACUCACAGGAGACUGCCGGGGUCAACUCGGAGGAAGGUGGGGAUGACGUCAAAUCAUCAUGCCCCUUAUGUCUUGGGCUGCACGCAUGCUACAAUGGCUGGUACAAAGGGCUGCAAUACUGCAAAGUGGAGCGAAUCCCAAAAAGCCAGUCUCAGUUCGGAUUGGGGUCUGCAACUCGACCCCAUGAAGUCGGAGUUGCUAGUAAUCGUAGAUCAGCAACGCUACGGUGAAUACGUUCCCGGGGCUUGUACACACCGCCCGUCACAUCACGAAAGUCGGUAACACCCGAAGUCAGUGGCCCAACCGUAAGGGGGGAGCUGCCGAAGGUGGGAUCGGUGAUUGGGAUGAAGUCGUAACAAGGUAACC